UUUCCUGUGGCUCAGUUGGUAGAGCAUUGUGCUAACAACGCAAAGGUUAAGGGUUGUUAGCACAAUGCAAGGGAAA